rnacentral:rRNA from 1 species
GACGAACGCUGGCGGCGUGCUUAACACAUGCAAGUCGAACGAUGAAGAAAAGAAUUUUACCUUCGGCAGAAAGUCAGUCCGGAUUAGUGGCAGACGGGGGAGUAACGCGUGAGCAACCUACAUCACACAUAGGAAUAGUCUCGGGUAACCGGGAUCAAUACAAUAUAACAUUGCGACGCAGCAUUUCCAUGCAAUAAAAGCUACGGCGGUAAGAGAUGGGCUCGCGUCUCAUUAACCAGAUGGUGAGGUAAAGGCUCACCAUAGUAACGGUGGGUACCCGGGCAGUGAGGGUGAGCGGUCACACUGGAACGGGGACACGGUCCAGAUUCCUACUGGAGGCGGCAGUGGGUAAUGUAGCACAAGGGAGGGAACGCUGAUGCAGCGACGCUGCGUGAGUGAUGAAGGAAGUCGGGACGUGAGACUCUUUACUAUGGUAAGUAAAGGACUGUACCAUAGGAGGAAGCUCCGGCUAAAUACGUG